rnacentral:rRNA from 1 species
UACAGAGGGUGCAAGCGUUAAUCGGAAUUACUGGGCGUAAAGCGCACGUAGGCGGUUAGUUAAGUUGGAAGUGAAAUCCCCGGGCUCAACCUGGGAACUGCUUUCAAAACUGCUGAGCUAGAGUACGGUAGAGGGUGGUGGGAUUUCCUGUGUAGCGGUGAAAUGCGUAGAUAUAGGAAGGAACACCAGUGGCGAAGGCGACCACCUGGACUGAUACUGACACUGAGGUGCGAAAGCGUGGGGAGCAAACAGG